AUUUUAUUAGUGAUGAUAAUGAUCGACGGGCGCACGGAAAUCACAUACGAAGAGAGAAUGCCAGCCGAGACGUUCGUACAAGAGAAUGGAUGGUGCGCAUUGAAAAAAAACCGUUUCGAAGUCGAAGCGUGGAACGAGUGGAUACAUCCGCAUAGCGCAGAACUGGGUCAACUUUUAAGAGCGGAAAGCGUUUUCUUAAAGCCUGUCACCCUCCGUGCACGCACCAUGUGGCGUAAACUUACAGGUGGACGGUGCGGGCAAGAAAUGGCAAUCGUGGUGUAGACAAGACACCGCGGCGGGGGCGUCGAGGGACCAGGGUUGGAUCCUUUUCGCAAUAAAGCUGCCCUGCAGACGAAUACGUACAUCGGAGAUUGUCAGCACAUGUGAUACCGCGACGAAAAUGUGUAUGCACUUAAAUAUGGAUUUUUUGUUCUUACAUCUUUACCUCCCCAAAGAAGAUUACGGUAUUAUUAUUUGUACACUACUCACGUUAAUCCGCAAAAGUUUCACAGAUGUUCGGCGAAUUCAUCAUGAUUCAUGACAAAUUUAACAAUUCAGUUUCAACGAUGUGAUUGCUAAUAUGACACAAUGUUUAGACUUAAAUACGUUUCAAUAAAAUAGUCAAUAAUAAUAUGCUGGGUCACCGGGAUAUGGAAUACGCUUCUUGAAUACAUACGGCACUUAUAAUAAGUAUCGAUCGGUCAUAUUUAUGGAAAUCAGCAAAAAUCGUUUCACUUCCAUUUGUGUAUGUAUUAUUGAUAUUUCAUAUUUAGCAUACAUAUCAAGAUAAAUAGUGAAUACUGCCAGUAGAAUUGGAUACAGAGAAAAACAUCAAUCCUUAUCGGUAUUUUUGCAAUGGACCUUUUCUUCUUGUGUACUUGAAAUUUGAAUUUCCAUAAUUCAUGUAU